GCCUCUGUAGUCUAGCGGUAAGACACUUUGCUGUUAUCGGAUGAGAAUUCAGUGGUUGCAAAGAGUUGCGGGUUCGAUUCCCUCCGGAGGCA